GACGAACGCUGGCGGCGUGCUUAACACAUGCAAGUCGAGCGGUAAGGCCCUUUCGGGGGUACGACGAGCGGCGAACGGGUGAGUAACACGUGGGUGACCUGCCCUCAGCUCUGGGAUAAGCCUGGGGAAACUGGGUCGUAAUACUGGAUAUGACUCCACGGUGCAUGUCGGUGGGGUGGAAAGCCUUGUGCGGCUGAGGAUGGGCCCGCGGCCUAUCAGCUUGUUGGUGGGGUGAGGCCUACCAAGGCGACGACGGGUAGCCGGCCUGAGAGGGCGACCGGCCACACUGGGACUGAGGA
rnacentral:rRNA from 1 species